UACGAAGGGGGCUAGCGUUGCUCGGAAUCACUGGGCGUAAAGCGCACGUAGGCGGCUCUUUAAGUCAGGGGUGAAAUCCUGGAGCUCAACUCCAGAACUGCCUUUGAUACUGGCGAUCUCGAGUCCGGGAGAGGUGAGUGGAACUGCGAGUGUAGAGGUGAAAUUCGUAGAUAUUCGCAAGAACACCAGUGGCGAAGGCGGCUCACUGGCCCGGUACUGACGCUGAGGUGCGAAAGCGUGGGGAGCAAACAGG
rnacentral:rRNA from 1 species